rnacentral:rRNA from 1 species
GCUCCAAUAGCGUAUAUUAAAGCUGUUGCGGUUAAAAAGCUCGUAGUUGGAUUUCUGUCAAGUACAACUGGUCCGCCUCUGGGUGAGCACAUAGUUUGGUCUUGGCAUCUUGCUGGAAACUGUUGCUGCACUUGGCUGUGUGGCGCAGUGUCCAGCACUUUCACUUUGAGGAAAUUGGAGUGUUUCAAGCAGGCAAUGCC